CUGGUUUGUGGGCCACUAACAGCGGGACAGAGCCGUACAGGCCGAGGCGGCUGUACAAGUCAUACGCAAAGACAUCCAGGUUAUACAGCCGGUUGUAGUCCGUGUGCGGACCUGGUGUCUCUGAGCUGAAGGCCGUCGGCGUGCUCUGGUAGACCGUACACGUGGCUGAACCCGUGGAGACAGAGGUCGGAACCGAUGCUGCUGGGACCUGGAGACAAGUUCAUUUAUACUUUUAUUAAGUAUAAACGGUACUUUAGUUAAGAUAAUUCUGGUGUGAGUGAAUAUCUCAAAGCCUUUGGAAAGUAAACUGUAAAUAUCUACAUGGUGGAAAUAACUGACAGGUCUGUCUUUUAUGAUGGUCAAAUACAAAAUAAGGUAAAAAACAAACCAUUAGCUUUGAUAUCCUCAAACUGCCUGAACGUCUCUUUCCAUAAUGAACCUGUGUGGUCGUCUUGAAGCUGCCACGGGAACAAAGGCAGAAAGAAGCAAAUGCAUUUGAAGACUGGAUUGAACUUCAAAUAAGAUUUAUAUUACCUAUUUCUGUUUGAAGGUAUUUGCUUACCUCACUACCACGAGGAGUGCACAUGAGAAGAAAAAAAGACACACCAAGGAAGUUGUUUUUAAUUUACUUUUCCAUCAGUAUGUUUAGUUUCCAGUAUGCAGUAUGCCUGAGAUCCUCACCUGGGUGGAUCCUGCAGCGUCUCCAACCACAGUUUGCCUUUGGAGUUGAAGGUGACCAUCACUUUGUCCUCACACAGGAUCUCCAGUCGGAAAGGAAAACGCCAAACGCAAACCUGGUGACGCCCUGCAGACCAAGACAGCGUGACCGAGUCCUUGGACUGUCGCUCCACUCUCAGCCUGCCAGACGACGAUGGGGGAAAAGAUUUAUUUAAAAACUCUUAACUGGCCCAAAUUGAUUUCAACAAGUCCUUGUGGCCAACAAACACAACACGUGCAACAAAGCACAGACACCGAGCUCUUAGUACAGUAGAGGUGGCUGGACAUCGUUUGUGUAACUCGGUGUCGUAAUGGAGGCUUACUGCGCACACUGCGGUUCCCCCGUUAGCACAUCUGGAACUCGGUAGCGGGCUUUGAUGGGCUGCAGUUCAUCUAUUAGUAUCCUCACCGUGUCGUUUUUGCAAGGCGACACACAAAGAAGCAGCGCUGCCUGUGAAGACAGAAAAGCAAGAGCUUGUUUUCAUGUCGGGAGGGGGGCAGAUUUUUACCGGUGAAUAUCAGUGCUGAAGGAAAAUUCCUUUGAGGUGAUUAUAUCACCCAACAUGCCUCAUAGUUUGGUUAUUAUUAUCGCCAAUAGGGGAGUUCAUUGAUAUUUUAAUUGUGAUCAGAAAUGACAUGUAUUAAAUAAAUACAUAUUUCAGCCCGUU